GACCCGCACAAGCGGUGGAUGAUGUGGUUUAAUUCGAUGCAACGCGAAAAACCUUACCCACCUUUGACAUGUAUGGAAGUCGCCAGAGAUGGCUUCGUGCUCGAAAGAGAACCAUAACACAGGUGCUGCAUGGCUGUCGUCAGCUCGUGUCGUGAGAUGUUGGGUUAAGUCCCGCAACGAGCGCAACCCUUGUCAUUAGUUGCUACAUUCAGUUGGGCACUCUAAUGAGACUGCCGGUGACAAACCGGAGGAAGGUGGGGAUGACGUCAAGUCCUCAUGGCCCUUAUAGGUGGGGCUACACACGUCAUACAAUGGCUGGUACAAAGGGUUGCCAACCCGCGAGGGGGAGCUAAUCCCAUAAAACCAGUCGUAGUCCUGAUCGCAGUCUGCAACUCGACUGCGUUAAGUCGGAAUCGCUAGUAAUCGUGGAUCAGAAUGUCACGGUGAAUACGUUCCCGGGU
rnacentral:rRNA from 1 species